CCCUGGUUAGCUCAGUUGGUAGAGCGCUCCACUGGUGAUGGAGAGGUCCCUUGUUCAAUACCAGGACCGGGCA